ACACCGUUGGUGAAGUGGUUAUCAUGCUUGCCUUCCAGUUUGUGAGCUAGUUAGCAAGCGGCUCGGGUUCGAUUCCCGAACGGUGUA
rnacentral:tRNA from 1 species